UGGAUAGGAAAUAAAAAGGCAUCUUUUUAUUUUUAAAAAGACCUUUUUCGGAAGGUAUGCUUAAAGAGGGGCUUGCGUCACAUUAGUUAGUUGGCAGGGUAAAGGCCUACCAAGACUAUGAUGUGUAGCUGGACUGAGAGGUUGAACAGCCACAUUGGGASUGAGACACGGCCCAAACUCCUACGGGAGGCAGCAGUAGGGAAUUUUCGGCAAUGGAGGAAACUCUGACCGAGCAACGCCGCGUGAACGAUGAAGUAUUUCGGUAUGUAAAGUUCUUUUAUUGAAGAAGAAAAAAUAGUGGAAAMACUAUCUUGACGAUAUUCAAUGAAUAAGCCCCGGCAAACUAUGUGCCAGCAGCCGCGGUAAUACAUAGGGGGCGAGCGUUAUCCGGAAUUAUUGGGCGUAAAGGGUGCGUAGGCGGUUUAAUAAGUCUAUAGUUUAAUUUCAGUGCUUAACACUGUCCUGCUAUAGAAACUAUUAGACUAGAGUGAGAUAGAGGCAAGUGGAAUUCCAUGUGUAGCGGUAAAAUGCGUAAAUAUAUGGAGGAMCACCAGAGGCGUAGGCGGCUUGCUGGGUCUUUACUGACGCUGAGGCACGAAAGCGUGGGGAGCAAACAGGAUUAGAUACCCUGGUAGUCCACGCCGUAAACGAUGAGUACUAAGUGUCGGGAUUACUCGGUACUGAAGUUAACACAUUAAGUACUCCGCCUGAGUAGUACGUACGCAAGUAUGAAACUUAAAGGAAUUGACGGGACUCCGCACAAGCGGUGGAUCAUGUUGUUUAAUUCGAAGAUACACGAAAAACCUUACCAGGUCUUGACAUACUCUGCAAAGCUAUAGCAAUAUAGUGGAGGUUAUCAGGGAUACAGGUGGUGCAUGGUUGUCGUCAGCUCGUGUCGUGAGAWGUUAGGUUAAGUCCUAAAACGAGCGCAACCCUUGUCAUUAGUUGCCAGCAUGUCAUGAUGGGCACUUUAAUGAGACUGCCAAUGAAAAAUUGGAGGAAGGUGAGGAUCACGUCAAAUCAUCAUGCCCCUUAUGAUCUGGGCUACAAACGUGAUACAAUGGCUGUUACAAAGAGUAGCUGAAACGCAAGUUUAUAGCCAAUCUCAUAAAAGCAGUCUCAGUUCGGAUUGAAGUCUGCAACUCGACUUCAUGAAGUUGGAAUCGCUAGUAAUCGCGAAUCAGCAUGUCGCGGUGAAUACGUUCACGGGGUUUG
rnacentral:rRNA from 1 species